AGGACGAACGCUGGCGGCGUGCUUAACACAUGCAAGUCGAGCGGUAAGGCCCUUUCGGGGGUACACGAGCGGCGAACGGGUGAGUAACACGUGGGUGACCUGCCCUUAGCUCUGGGAUAAGCCUGGGAAACUGGGUCUAAUACCGGAUAUGACGCACGGCCGCAUGGUCUGUGUGUGGAAAGAUUUAUCGGUCAAGGAUGAGCUCGCGGCCUAUCAGCUUGUUGGUGGGGUAAUGGCCUACCAAGGCGACGACGGGUA
rnacentral:rRNA from 1 species